UUUUGGACGAUGGGGGCAACCCUGAUCCAGCCAUGCCGCGUGAGUGAAGAAGGCCCUCGGGUUGUAAAGCUCCUUCGGACGGAACGAAAUGGGCGGGACUAAUACUCCUGUCUGAUGACGGUACCGUAAGAAGAAGCACCGGCUAACUACGUGCCAGCAGCCGCGGUAAUACGUAGGGUGCGAGCGUUAAUCGGAAUUACUGGGCGUAAAGCGUGCGCAAGCGGUUUCGUAAGCUGGAGGUGAAAUCCCCGGGCUUAACCUGGGAAUGGCCUUCAGGACUGCGAGGCUAGAGUGCGGCAGAGGGAGGUGGAAUUCCACGUGUAGCAGUGAAAUGCGUAGAGAUGUGGAGGAACACCGAUGGCGAAGGCAGCCUCCUGGGCCAGCACUGACGCUCAUGCACGAAG
rnacentral:rRNA from 1 species